CGGCCGGCACGCUCCUCCCGGUAGAGCCCAGCCCGCGGGUGGAGAGGCAGGGCAGCGGCGCACAGGAUAAGAAAAUAUUUUAAGCAGGUCUGGGAGGCAUAAAAAUAGUUGUUAUCAAGUGAUCUGAACAACCACUGGAAUGUGUAAUGAAGAAAAAGCUGAGUUUGGUGAGAACUCUCUGGUCAUCUUCCUUACUUCAGGUUGAUGAUAGCCUUGAAGACAGCAGCACACAUUCCUGCUUACCGCUAUGCUCCAUAAAGGUGGAAAGUGAAGGCUAACACAGUGUUGCAAGCCACAGACAAUAUACUGAAAUGGAAAAUACUACCUAUUGGCACUAAACGAUGGGCAGAAGUAGUCAGACUUUGGAGGGGAGAUGACUUCUGGAAGAAGGGAGUAUCUCUAGGUCCUGCAAAGGUUAUAGCAAAGUAUCCUGAAAAUGUCCCAAAUUAAAUAAAAGGCAUAUCAUCAAAGCAAAA